CAGCAGCAGCCACGGUAAUACAGAGGGUGCGAGCGUUAAUCGGAUUUACUGGGCGUAAAGCGUGCGUAGGCGGCUUCUUAAGUCGGAUGUGAAAUCCCUGAGCUUAACUUAGGAAUUGCAUUCGAUACUGGGAAGCUAGAGUAUGGGAGAGGAUGGUAGAAUUCCAGGUGUAGCGGUGAAAUGCGUAGAGAUCUGGAGGAAUACCGAUGGCGAAGGCAGCCAUCUGGCCUAAUACUGACGCUGAGGUACGAAAGCAUGGGGAGCAAACAGGAUUAGAUACCCCUGUAGUCCCUGUCUCUUAUAA
rnacentral:rRNA from 1 species